CUAAGCAAAUGUAUACAUUUAGAUAAAUAAAAUUCAUAAAAUAAUGUACAUUUUCAAUGUAAGAAUAAAAUUUUUGCAAAAUUGCUUGCUUACGCAAAUCACCAGCACCAGUUGUUGUAGCACUAUAUACCACGAAUUGCGAGCGGUUAACUUGAAAGCAAUCAGAUAACUAUCUUCUUCAACCGAUCUAUUUAUCUUAUAUAUAGUAUAGUAAUAUUUUAUAUUUUUUGCGUUAGGUUUUGAAACCAAAGAUUCAUUGACACUUAAGGAAAAAUCUCAAAGAAACUUGCAUCUCAUCGAAGUGGUUAUCUUAUUUAUUGCUAUGCAGACAUUUCGUAGUUGGUGGCAAUCGUUUGCAAUUUUCUUAACCAUAUACGUACUUCAAGAUAACUACUAAGCUGUAUAUAUGUUUUACUCUGCUUAUAACUACUAGUGUAGGAAUUUUUUGCACACAAUUUCAGUGCUUACAGCCAGAGAAGUGUAAUCGUUGCUGAAAUCUUUCGACCGAUUAUCUGUUACUAACAAUGUUGAUAAGCCUUUGAUUUCUUUGCAAGAGAAUUUUAAAUGAUAUUUGGUGGAAAAAAUAUAUAUUCGACUAAUAAUUUUAAGGCAAAAUUUACGUCACUCAACGAGACAUGCUUACCAUUUACAACGCUUAUAUCCAGCCAGAUUUGGUAUAUAAGACGUACGCGCGACGAUCUCCAUAGUUUGCUCAGAAACUCUCAGACACGUACAAGGAAAGGCUCCGACGCUCAUGGGCGACAAGAAUGUGUGACCAUCAGCGGAAUGUGGAUUCUUUCGGGGUAAGAUAGGAGCACUAUUAAGCCCUUUAACAUGACUACACGACUUCCUCAGCGGUCUCUUUCACUCGUCUUGGAAUUGCCUGAAUAUUAUUCGAUACACCACUGCGACGUCUUCCUUAGCAGUACUCCCCGCUUUUGAAAUAACCCAGCUGGUUUUUUCCGCCGUACCUCCUUCCUCCUUCCUAGCCGCCAUUAUGCCCGAACGUAAAGGACGUCCCCUGCGUGGCUAUUAAUAUAUAAAAAAAGAUUAUAAAAUCGAACGCAGUCGACAUUUCUUUUUUCCAAUUAAUAAAUGAAAACUUGAAGCGAACGAAUAUUUCAAGUAUGAGUUCUUGCCCUGAAGUAUCUUUAUCACUUUUUUUUCAUCAAAAAUGAUUAAUCUGGAUAAAACACAAUGCAAGAUGCCACUAAACCAAGAUACAGAUGGAAUAAAAAAAAAUAUGAUGAGCCUAUUUCCCUUAGCAAGACUAUUCGAAUCGAUGGUUGGAAAUUCUGCGACUUGUAGACAAAUUCCGGUGUCAUGUUUAAAUAAAUCGUUCGUGAUCGUCUCGGCUUUUAGAUGUAGAAGAAACGGGAAAAGGGAAACGUGAAACAGAAGAAGGAAGUUAUGACAAAAAAAGUCUAUUCAAGGAGUAUGACAAUCGGAAAUUUGCCAUAUUUAUCGUAAAGCAAACUUUUCCUACCUGUCCGCUUAAAAUUCAUUGCGAGCGUAUUAUUUGGUCAGUCAAUCUCUCUACAUCUCUCUGCUAAUCCGUGAACUAUUCACUGCAGUAGAUAACAAGCAAUACAAGAAAAGCAUGUGCAACAAUAUAUUUACAUUACGAAAGAUUGGAUGGACUCACUUUCGAAUUUCAUUACGAUUGCAGCUAUAAAGCAGGAAAAUAUUAUCUGCAUAGGCAGACAAUUUAUAGUCAUCGCUGUUUCGUCCCAAAUUCGAUCACACAGCAGCCGUGUAAUGGUUUUUUUUUUUAAGUCCAUGUAUAUGGCAGUGGCUUCGGUUCCAGGGAUCCUUUACGUCCUAUGCAGAUUUUCCAGAUUCAGUCAAUAUACCUUUCAUUGAUCUUUAUUAAGAAAUAUUAAUAAUGCAAGAUUUUUC